rnacentral:rRNA from 1 species
AGUGAACGCUGGCGGUAGGCCUAACACAUGCAAGUCGAACGGCAGCACAGUAAGAGCUUGCUCUUACGGGUGGCGAGUGGCGGACGGGUGAGGAAUACAUCGGAAUCUACUUUUUCGUGGGGGAUAACGUAGGGAAACUUACGCUAAUACCGCAUACGACCUACGGGUGAAAGCAGGGGAUCUUCGGACCUUGCGCGAUUGAAUGAGCCGAUGUCGGAUUAGCUAGUUGGCGGGGUAAAGGCCCACCAAGGCGACGAUCCGUAGCUGGUCUGAGAGGAUGAUCAGCCACACUGGAACUGAGACACGGUCCAGACUCCUACGGGAGGCAGCAGUGGGGAAUAUUGGACAAUGGGCGCAAGCCUGAUCCAGCCAUACCGCGUGGGUGAAGAAGGCCUUCGGGUUGUAAAGCCCUUUUGUUGGGAAAGAAAAGCAGCAGGUUAAUCCACCGCUGUUCUGACGGUACCCAAAGAAUAAGCACCGGCUAACUUCGUG